rnacentral:rRNA from 1 species
GAGUUUGAUCGUGGCUCAGAUUGAACGCUGGCGGCAUGCCUUACACAUGCAAGUCGAACGGCAGCAUGAUCUAGCUUGCUAGAUUGAUGGCGAGUGGCGAACGGGUGAGUAAUACAUCGGAACGUGCCCUGUAGUGGGGGAUAACUAGCCGAAAGAUUAGCUAAUACCGCAUACGACCUGAGGGUGAAAGUGGGGGACCGCAAGGCCUCAUGCUAUAGGAGCGGCCGAUGUCUGAUUAGCUAGUUGGUGGGGUAAAGGCCCACCAAGGCGACGAUCAGUAGCUGGUCUGAGAGGACGAUCAGCCACACUGGGACUGAGACACGGCCCAGACUCCCACGGGAGGCAGCAGUGGGGAAUUUUGGACAAUGGGCGAAAGCCUGAUCCAGCAAUGCCGCGUGUGUGAAGAAGGCCU